CUCCCCUGAAGCUGUACUGCCCUCCUACAACCUGAUGAAUGCUGCUGCCAGGCUGAUCUUUCUCUCCAGUCACUCCUCUCACCCCUCUGUCGAUCUUUACACUGGCUUCCUGUCCCUUACAGGUGUCAAUUUAAAAUAUUAACCCUUACCGAUAAAGCCCUAACCAACUCUAGCCCUUCUUACAUUUCCUCACUAAUUAAUAGGUAUGUCUCCGCUCUACUGGUAACCUUCUCCUGUCUGCUGCUUACUGCAAAUUCUCGCCUGCAAGACUUCUCAU